rnacentral:rRNA from 1 species
UACAGGGGGUGCAAACGUUGCUCGGAAUUAUUGGGCGUAAAGAGCUCGUAGGCGGUCUGUUGCGUCGGCUGUGAAAACCCGGGGCUCAACUCCGGGCCUGCAGUCGAUACGGGCAGACUAGAGUUCGGUAGGGGAGACUGGAAUUCCUGGUGUAGCGGUGAAAUGCGCAGAUAUCAGGAGGAACACCGGUGGCGAAGGCGGGUCUCUGGGCCGAAACUGACACUGAGGAGCGAAAGCGUGGGGAGCGAACAGG